rnacentral:rRNA from 1 species
UACGGAGGGUGCAAGCGUUGUCCGGAUUUAUUGGGUUUAAAGGGUGCGUAGGCGGCUCAUUAAGUCAGCGGUGAAAGCCUCCAGCUCAACUGGAGAACUGCCAUUGAUACUGAUGAGCUUGAGUAUACUUGAGGUAGGCGGAAUUGACAGUGUAGCGGUGAAAUGCAUAGAUAUUGUCAAGAACACCAAUUGCGAAGGCAGCUUACUAAAUUAUAACUGGCGCUGAGGCACGAAAGUGUGGGUAUCAAACAGG